AUUGAACGCUGGCGGCAGGCUUAACACAUGCAAGUCGAGCGGGGUGAUGGUGCUUGCACUAUCACUUAGCGGCGGACGGGUGAGUAAUGCUUAGGAAUCUGCCUAUUAGUGGGGGACAACAUCUCGAAAGGGAUGCUAAUACCGCAUACGUCCUACGGGAGAAAGCAGGGGAUCACUUGUGACCUUGCGCUAAUAGAUGAGCCUAAGUCGGAUUAGCUAGUUGGUGGGGUAAAGGCCUACCAAGGCGACGAUCUGUAGCGGGUCUGAGAGGAUGAUCCGCCACACUGGGACUGAGACACGGCCCAGACUCCUACGGGGGGCAGCAGUGGGGAAUAUUGGACAAUGGGGGGAACCCUGAUCCAGCCAUGCCGCGUGUGUGAAGAAGGCCUUAUGGUUGUAAAGCACUUUAAGCGAGGAGGAGGCUCUUUUGGCUAAUACCCAAGAUGAGUGGACGUUACUCGCAGAAUAAGCACCGGCUAACCCUGUGCCAGCCGCCGCCGUAA
rnacentral:rRNA from 1 species